rnacentral:misc_RNA from 1 species
AAGUCGUAACAAGGUUUCCGUAGGUGAACCUGCGGAAGGAUCAUUCACACAAAAAUAUCCACAUAUUGUGAACCAACUAAAACCAUGCGCUCACCACGUGCAAGGCUGUUUGCCCGCACGGUAUGGGAGAUACCAGGCUGUUUGCCAGCAUCUUAUGGUGGGACAUACUUUGAUUCAUGUCAAAUUUCAAAAAAUUUGUCAUAACUAUCAGCGAUGGAUGUCUUGGUUCUC